AUGGCCCUGUUGGCCUCCUCAUUCUUGCUGCUGAUUGUGCCUGCAUAUGUCCUGUCCCAGGUUACCCUGAAGGAGUCUGGCCCUGGGCUGUUGCAACCUUCCCAGGACCUCAGUCUGACCUGCUCUUUCUCUGGGUUUUCACUGAGCACUUCUGGUAUGGGUGUGGGCUGGGUCCAACAACCCUCAGGGAAGGGUCUCGAGGGGCUUGCAAUCAUUUGGUGGGAUGAUGACAAGAGGUACAACCCAUCCCUGAAGAGCCGCCUCACCAUCUCCAAGGACACCUCCAACAACCGGGUAACCCUCAAGAUCACCAGUGUGGACACUGCAGAUACUGCCACAUACUACUGUGCUCAGAGAUCACAAUGACACAGCCUUGGCUGACAGCUGUACAAUAUUUCAGGCUGGUUCUCAGCUCUGUGUCUUCCUC